GACGAACGCUGGCGGCGUGCCUAAUACAUGCAAGUAGAACGCUGAAGGAGGAGCUUGCUUCCCUGGAUGAGUUGCGAACGGGUGAGUAACACGUAGGUAACCUGCCUGGUAGCGGGGGAUAACUAUUGGAAACGAUAGCUAAUACCGCAUAAUAGCAGUUGUUGCAUGAUAACUGUUUGAAAGGUGCAAUUGCACCACUACCAGAUGGACCUGCGUUGUAUUAGCUAGUUGGUGGGGUAACGGCUCACCAAGGCGACGAUACAUAGCCGACCUGAGAGGGUGAUCGGCCACACUGGGACUGAGACACGGCCCAGACUCCUACGGGAGGCAGCAGUAGGGAAUCUUCGGCAAUGGACGGAAGUCUGACCGAGCAACGCCGCGUGAGUGAAGAAGGUUUUCGGAUCGUAAAGCUCUGUUGUAAGAGAAGAACGAGUGUGAGAGUGGAAAGUUCACACUGUGACGGUAUCUUACCAGAAAGGGACGGCUAACUACGUG
rnacentral:rRNA from 1 species